AUUGAACGCUGGCGGCAUGCCUUACACAUGCAAGUCGAACGGCAGCAUAGGAGCUUGCUCCUGAUGGCGAGUGGCGAACGGGUGAGUAAUAUAUCGGAACGUGCCCUAGAGUGGGGGAUAACUAGUCGAAAGACUAGCUAAUACCGCAUACGAUCUACGGAUGAAAGUGGGGGAUAGCAAGACCUCAUGCUCCUGGAGCGGCCGAUAUCUGAUUAGCGAGUUGGUGGGGUAAAAGCCUACCAAGGCGACGAUCAGUAGCUGGUCUGAGAGGACGACCAGCCACACUGGGACUGAGACACGGCCCAGACUCCUACGGGAGGCAGCAGUGGGGAAUUUUGGACAAUGGGGGCAACCCUGAUCCAGCAAUGCCGCGUGAGUGAAGAAGGCCUUCGGGUUGUAAAGCUCUUUUGUCAGGGAAGAAACGGUAGUAGCUAAUAUCUAUUACUAAUGACGGUACCUGAAGAAUAAGCACCGGCUAACUACGUGCCAGCCGCCGCGGUAA
rnacentral:rRNA from 1 species